GGCGGACGGGUGAGUAACACAUGGGUACCUGCCCUCGAAGUGAGGAAUACCGGCGAGAAAUCGCCGACAAUACCGCAUAGGCUCUCUUUCGUGAAAGGGGGAGAGCAAAGUCUCUUGUAAGAGAGGCGCUUUGGGAUGGGCCUGUGGCCGAUUAGCUAGCUGGUGGGGUAAGAGCUCACCAGGGCUGUGAUCGGUAGCUGGUCUGAGAGGACGAGCAGCCACACUGGGAUUGAGAACGGCCCAGACUCCUACGGGGGGCAGCAGUGAGGAAUUUUCCGCAAUGGGCGCAAGCCUGACGGAGCAACGCCGCGUGCAGGACGACGGCCUUCGGGUUGUAAACUGCUUUUCUGUGAGACGAGCAAGGACGGUAUCACAGGAAUCAGCCCCGGCUAACUACGUGCCAGCAGCCGCGGUAAUACGUAGGGGGCAAGCGUUGUCCGGAGUUACUGGGCGUAAAGCGCACGCAGGCGGUUGCACGCGUUUCCGGUGCCAGCUCGUUGCUUAACGACGGGAGUGCCGGGAAGACGGUGUGACUCGAGCACCUCAGCAGGGACAUAGAAUUCCGGGUGGAGUGGUGAAAUGCGUAGAUAUCCGGAGGAAUACCAAUGGCGAAGGCAGUGUCCUGGGAGGUCGCUGACGCUGAGGUGCGAAAGCCAGGGGAGC
rnacentral:rRNA from 1 species